GCAGCUGAACGGAACGCUGUCCAUCAGGAACUUUCCGUCCACGUUACUCAGGACGCGACUGCAAGGCAAACGCCAGCACGGCAUCACGUUGCACGUACUGCUGUCAUUCGCUGUGCGGUGAAACGCCACAGAUCAGUGACCAAUCACGGAGCGUGCCAGUCGCCAAGGGGGCGGGGACUACUGCGAGCGACACGUCGAACGCGGCUUCCUGCGCCUGGCCGGCCUGACAUUUGGAACGACGCUACGAUCCGGGUGUGACUGCCGCGUGUUGUGCUAAGCGAAUGUCUAGCGCCCCCCGAAUGGCUUCUCGGAGUCUGGCGUCGCCAUUCUCGCAGGGUUGCGACUCAGGAGUCGUUGGCUUUCCCACAGGCAAAGAUUUUGGGUAGCGGUUGCUGAUCCACUGAACCUCAAACCAGUCCCUGAAGUUGACAUUGCCACAGCAGCGGAACUCGAUCUGCGUCAAGUCCAGAGUGCGUUUCAUGAAGCAGCGUCCCGGGGUGUCCGUGUCCUUGUAGAAGCGG